rnacentral:lncRNA from 1 species
CCACAGGCAGAGCAAACCUGGCCUUGGCCCUGAUGCAGCUGAGAUCACCAGUUAAUUGCCUCAUUUUCUGGGCUUUUCAGAAGCCCAUCCUUCAUCCUGCCUCCUCCAACAGUCUGCAACCUCUACAGCAAGGAGAGAAUUUCCACCUCCCAAAAGAUGGGAUGGAGCACCAAGGGGAUCCAGAUCAGUUCUACAACAGCCAGGACAGAUGCCCAUUCCAAAGCAAUUACUGCAUGGGAGAUGCAAAGUGGCUGGAAGAACCUGCUCAUUCUGGGUCUGUAAUGGAGCCUGUGAGGAGCUCAGCUUGCUGGGGUGCCAGCAGGAGAACUUCCUUGUCAGCAACUGAGAGGAUCCUGAAGAGUUCCAAGAAAUGGAAAGCAAGCCUCAUCAGAAUGAUCCCUCAAAUGAAAAAACCUCCUGUUCAGGUGGUGUCUCUGCCUAAUAUUUGCAAGGCUAUUUUGGGCAGUUGUCCCCUGCUGAUGCAACCAUCCUCACCCAUUUCUCACCAAUGGGCUGAUGAUGACCUUAGGCUGAGUGUGGGAUGGUUUUUGGACGGCUGCAGUUGUGUGGACAGGUCCUGCUUUUAUCAGGAUGCAGGAGUGGUGCUCCAGGGGCAGCCAGGAGCCACUUGUGUAACUCUGACCUCUCAGAUUUGGAGGAUUUGGGAUUUCCAAGUGGUCUGAUGAAUCAGAACAGACUGACGCUUCCUGCCACCUCUCCGUCUGGGGCCAGCUUGAAAAGAGAAAAACAAGAAGGAUGGGACUUCAUGGAGCUGGACAAUUAGCCCCAAUAUGCAAAUGGAGCAGAACUUAUAAAAGUGAGAGACCCUGUGACCAGUCAUCUAUUUUGUGACCAUUUUGGGUCCAUCUUGGGUGUAGAGCCCUGGCUGGGCUCUUGUGCUGCCCAAGGUGGAUCCAUUGAAGAGAUCCUUUAAAUAAACCCCUGCUUUAUUUUUUAACUCUGUUUAGU